GUUGGAGCUGUGUGGAUGGCUGAUGGAACUGCAGAACCUUGGACAGGGCAGCACUGCCAGAAGCUGGGGAGUCCUGAGCUGGUUGAGGGACUCCAUUAGGACAAGGCCCUGAGUGGAGGAGGUGAUGAAAGGAAAUGUGGAUUCUGUAAAGAUUAUGGAGCCUCAUUAAUCCCUGGUGUAACUCUGCUGAAGAACACAGUUACCAAGGAGCUUCAAGAAUGCAGGCUUCAGAUUUACCAUGCAAGAGUAUGCUGGAUGGGGGCCUUGCAAAUACAUCCACUGGCACACCAUGGCACCAAAGACACAGGUA